AUUGAACGCUGGCGGCAGGCCUAACACAUGCGAGUCGAGCGGAUGAAGGGAGCUUGCUCCUGGAUUCAGCGGCGGACGGGUGAGUAAUGCCUAGGAAUCUGCCUGGUAGUGGGGGAUAACGUCCGGAAACGGGCGCUAAUACCGCAUACGUCCUGAGGGAGAAAGUGGGGGAUCUUCGGACCUCACGCUAUCAGAUGAGCCUAGGUCGGAUUAGCUAGUUGGUGGGGUAAAGGCCUUCCAAGGCGACGAUCCGUAACUGGUCUGAGAGGAUGAUCAGUCACACUGGAACUGAGACACGGUCCAGACUCCUACGGGAGGCAGCAGUGGGGAAUAUUGGACAAUGGGCGAAAGCCUGAUCCAGCCAUGCCGCGUGUGUGAAGAAGGUCUUCGGAUUGUAAAGCACUUUAAGUUGGGAGGAAGGGCAGUAAGUUAAUACCUUGCUGUUUUGACGUUACCAACAGAAUAAGCACCGGCUAACUUCGUG
rnacentral:rRNA from 1 species